CUUGGCCUUGUCAUUCCCUGGCUCGGUGCCUCAGUUUCCAUUCUCGCCAGCCUCUGCCUAGUUCCCUGCAGUUUCAUGACUGUGUUGGUGCCAGUCCCACCCCCGCGCUGCACAGUCCUAUACCGGCUCCUCUCUCUUGCCAGCACUCUGACACCUGCCCUUGAGCCAGAGCUAGAGACCCACCUCCUUCGAGCUGCCGUCUUCACCCUGGGCACCCAGAAGGACACCACCCAAGUCCAGGAUCUGCAUAGGGUCUUGCCAGACCUCGUGGAUGCCAUUCUGGGGAACCUGCUUGCAGAGCCUCCAAGACACCGACAGGCUCCACUACAUUUUGAGAGUGAGCCCGAUUAGAGCACAUUAACUACUGGAUCGUGUCCAGGGUGUCGCAGGAGAGAGCCAGGGCCAUUAGGAGCAACACGGCCCUGCUCAGAUUCACCAUCACCCUCCUUGAUUUUGACGGCUGACCAUCCAGGAGGCCGAAGAGCUGUGGUAUUGGAACAGCAGGCUCCUGAGCUACAGGAACACAGCCUGGGUGGGGGAGGUCUUCGGGAAGUUCUUCUCGGAGGGGCAGAGAAGAUUCUUCCUCCAUUCGGACGGCAGUGCUGGCCAUCCACGACCCCCUGCUUUGGGUCAGCCAGGCUGGGCAGCUCCUCACCUGCUCCCUCCUGGGGGAAGCCCAGCAGCUGAUGGGGGACAAGCAGGAGGAUGUCACGGCCAAAGUGAUGUGCCAGGUGCCUGAGGCCACCAGGAACUCUCGCCUGCUCCCUGCUGCAGGUACUGCUCUGGCUCACUGUAAAUGGGGAGCUAGUGGAAGGGGAAAUGGAGCCCCCUGGGACUCACU